rnacentral:rRNA from 1 species
GGGUUGUGAGGUUAAGCGACUAAGCGUACACGGUGGAUGCCCUGGCAGUCAGAGGCGAUGAAGGACGUGCUAAUCUGCGAAAAGCGCCGGCGAGGUGAUAUGAACCUUUGACCCGGCGAUGUCCGAAUGGGGAAACCCAGUGCAAUCCGUUGCACUAUCGUUAACUGAAUACAUAGGUUAACGAGGCGAACCGGGGGAACUGAAACAUCUAAGUACCCCGAGGAAAAGAAAUCAACCGAGAUUCCCCCAGUAGCGGCGAGCGAACGGGGAGCAGCCCGGAGUCUGAAUCAGCUUGUGUGUUAGUGGAACGGUCUGGAAAGUCCGACGGUACAGGGUGAUAGUCCCGUACACGAAAAUGCACAUGCUGUGAACUCGAAGAGUAGGGCGGGACACGUGGUAUCCUGUCUGAAUAUGGGGGGACCAUCCUCCAAGGCUAAAUACUCCUGACUGACCGAUAGUGAACCAGUACCGUGAGGGAAAGGCGAAAAGAACCCCGGCGAGGGGAGUGAAAAAGAACCUGAAACCGUGUACGUACAAGCAGUGGGAGCCUCUUUUAUGGGGUGACUGCGUACCUUUUGUAUAAUGGGUCAGCGACUUAUAUUCUGUAGCAAGGUUAACCGUAUAGGGGAGCCGAAGGGAAACCGAGUCUUAACUGGGCGUUAAGUUGCAGGGUAUAGACCCGAAACCCGGUGAUCUAGCCAUGGGCAGGUUGAAGGUUGGGUAACACUAACUGGAGGACCGAACCGACUAAUGUUGAAAAAUUAGCGGAUGACCUGUGGCUGGGGGUGAAAGGCCAAUCAAACCGGGAGAUAGCUGGUUCUCCCCGAAAGCUAUUUAGGUAGCGCCUCGUGAACUCAUCUUCGGGGGUAGAGCACUGUUUCGGCUAGGGGGCCAUCCCGGCUUACCAACCCGAUGCAAACUACGAAUACCGAAGAAUGUUAUCACGGGAGACACACGGCGGGUGCUAACGUCCGUCGUGAAGAGGGAAACAACCCAGACCGCCAGCUAAGGUCCCAAAGUCAUGGUUAAGUGGGAAACGAUGUGGGAAGGCACAGACAGCCAGGAUGUUGGCUUAGAAGCAGCCAUCAUUUAAAGAAAGCGUAAUAGCUCACUGGUCGAGUCGGCCUGCGCGGAAGAUGUAACGGGGCUAAACCAUGCACCGAAGCUGCGGCAGCGACACUAUGUGUUGUUGGGUAGGGGAGCGUUCUGUAAGCCGUUGAAGGUGUGCUGUGAGGCAUGCUGGAGGUAUCAGAAGUGCGAAUGCUGACAUAAGUAACGAUAAAGCGGGUGAAAAGCCCGCUCGCCGGAAGACCAAGGGUUCCUGUCCAACGUUAAUCGGGGCAGGGUGAGUCGACCCCUAAGGCGAGGCCGAAAGGCGUAGUCGAUGGGAAACAGGUUAAUAUUCCUGUACUUGGUGUUACUGCGAAGGGGGGACGGAGAAGGCUAUGUCAGCCGGGCGACGGUUGUCCCGGUUUAAGCAUGUAGGCGGAGGUUCCAGGUAAAUCCGGUACCUUGUUAACGCUGAGGUGUGAUGACGAGGCACUACGGUGCUGAAGUGAUAAAUGCCCUGCUUCCAGGAAAAGCCUCUAAGCAUCAGGUAACACGAAAUCGUACCCCAAACCGACACAGGUGGUCAGGUAGAGAAUACCAAGGCGCUUGAGAGAACUCGGGUGAAGGAACUAGGCAAAAUGGUGCCGUAACUUCGGGAGAAGGCACGCUGAUGUGUAGGUGAAGCCCCUGCGGGCGGAGCUGAAAUCAGUCGAAGAUACCAGCUGGCUGCAACUGUUUAUUAAAAACACAGCACUGUGCAAACACGAAAGUGGACGUAUACGGUGUGACGCCUGCCCGGUGCCGGAAGGUUAAUUGAUGGGGUUAGCGGCAACGCGAAGCUCUUGAUCGAAGCCCCGGUAAACGGCGGCCGUAACUAUAACGGUCCUAAGGUAGCGAAAUUCCUUGUCGGGUAAGUUCCGACCUGCACGAAUGGCGUAAUGAUGGCCAGGCUGUCUCCACCCGAGACUCAGUGAAAUUGAACUCGCUGUGAAGAUGCAGUGUACCCGCGGCAAGACGGAAAGACCCCGUGAACCUUUACUAUAGCUUGACACUGAACACUGGUCCUUGAUGUGUAGGAUAGGUGGGAGGCUUUGAAGCGUGGACGCCAGUCUGCGUGGAGCCAACCUUGAAAUACCACCCUUUAAUGGCUGGUGUUCUAACGUAGACCCGUAAUCCGGGUUGCGGACAGUGUCUGGUGGGUAGUUUGACUGGGGCGGUCUCCUCCCAAAGAGUAACGGAGGAGCACGAAGGUUGGCUAAUCCUGGUCGGACAUCAGGAGGUUAGUGCAAUGGCAUAAGCCAGCUUGACUGCGAGCGUGACGGCGCGAGCAGGUGCGAAAGCAGGUCAUAGUGAUCCGGUGGUUCUGAAUGGAAGGGCCAUCGCUCAACGGAUAAAAGGUACUCCGGGGAUAACAGGCUGAUACCGCCCAAGAGUUCAUAUCGACGGCGGUGUUUGGCACCUCGAUGUCGGCUCAUCACAUCCUGGGGCUGAAGUAGGUCCCAAGGGUAUGGCUGUUCGCCAUUUAAAGUGGUACGCGAGCUGGGUUUAGAACGUCGUGAGACAGUUCGGUCCCUAUCUGCCGUGGGCGCUGGAGAAUUGAGGGGGGCUGCUCCUAGUACGAGAGGACCGGAGUGGACGCAUCACUGGUGUUCGGGUUGUCAUGCCAAUGGCACUGCCCGGUAGCUAAAUGCGGAAGAGAUAAGUGCUGAAAGCAUCUAAGCACGAAACUUGCCCCGAGAUGAGUUCUCCCUGAGACUUUAAGUCUCCUGAAGGAACGUUGAAGACGACGACGUUGAUAGGUCGGGUGUGUAAGCGCAGCGAUGCGUUGAGCUAACCGAUACUAAUGAACCGUGAGGCUUAACCUUACAACGCCGAAGGUGUUU